GAUGAACGCUGGCGGCGUGCCUAAUACAUGCAAGUCGAGCGAACGGACGAGAAGCUUGCUUUUCUGAUGUUAGCGGCGGACGGGUGAGUAACACGUGGAUAACCUACCUAUAAGACUGGGAUAACUUCGGGAAACCGGAGCUAAUACCGGAUAAUAUUUUGAACCGCAUGGUUCAAAAGUGAAAGACGGUCUUGCUGUCACUUAUAGAUGGAUCCGCGCUGCAUUAGCUAGUUGGUAAGGUAACGGCUUACCAAGGCAACGAUGCAUAGCCGACCUGAGAGGGUGAUCGGCCACACUGGAACUGAGACCCGGUCCAGACUCCUACGGGAGGCAGCAGUAGGGAAUCUUCCGCAAUGGGCGAAAGCCUGACGGAGCAACGCCGCGUGAGUGAUGAAGGUCUUCGGAUCGUAAAACUCUGUUAUUAGGGAAGAACAUAUGUUUAAGUAACUGUGCACAUCUUGACGGUACCUAAUCAGAAAGCCACGGCUAACUACGUG
rnacentral:rRNA from 1 species